GAUGAACGCUGACAGCAUGCCUAACACAUGCAAGUCGAUGGGGAAGUGGUGCUUGCACCCUGGCAUCAAUGGCGGACGGGUGAGUAACGCGUAAGGGACCUACCUGAAGGACAGGGAUAACAGGGGGAAACUAUUGCUAAUACCGGAUAAGCUUAUGCUGCUGCAUGGCUUUAUAAUGAAAGGAGUCGCCUGCGGAGAGGCUUGCGCCCGAUUAGCUAGUUGGUGAGGUAAUGGGUCACCAAGGCGACGAUAGGAAUCCGGCCUGAGAGGGUGGUCGGCCACAAGGGGACUGAGAUACGGCCCUUACUCCUACGGGAGGCAGCAGUGGGGAAUAUUGGACAAUGGUGGCAACACUGAUGCAGCAACGCUGCGUGAAGGAAGAAGGUUUUCGGAUUGUAAAGUUCUUUCUGCAGGGAAGAAGAAAAUGACGGUACCUGCAGAAGAAGCUCCGGCUAACUACGUG
rnacentral:rRNA from 1 species